AGAUGCUCUCUAGUCAGGUGCAAUUUUGCCCGGAGCCCUUGGAUAAGUGAAUGGAGAGAGAUGAGUAGUGAGAAACACAAGAGAACUAUCAGACUUAAUGCCAAACAUAAUGGGGAUGAGGCUGAAGACGAAUAUGCUGCCCACCUCUUGUGAGAUUGGAGUGCCCUGUAAGAGCAACAUGGAGAGGGAAUUCUGGGCCUGUCUGCUUAAGCUGCUGCCCCCGCGACCCGACCUCGGAUAAGCGGAAGAGUAUGGAUGGAUGGAUGGAUUUUCUGUUACAAAAUUGAAAUGACUAAAGUCAUGCAUGCAAAGUGAUAUAGGGUGUGCUAAUCUAGUAUUAUGUUUGUGAGGUGACACUGAAAUCUGGAAUCUUAUAAUGUCAGUUUGACAUUAAAGAAAUUCAUAAAGUUUGCACUACUAAUAUCUUUAGGUAUUUUGCAUUGCAGUUCAGAAUUAUCAUUUGUUAGAUUAGCCACUCUUCUAAUCUGUUCACAAGGAUUAUUACUAUUGUAAUCUCUAGAAUAGUAGUCUGAGCGGGCUAAAAAGAAAGUGUUUUAGUACAUUUAAUAUGGUCUGUCCAUGCAAUUUUGGAAGUCCUGCAGCUUUGUUGCUCUCCAUCUAUGCUCCUGUUUUCAACAUUCUAAUUUUAAGAGCUUGAGAGCUCUGAUUAAACCAGUGUGUUUCUAUGCACUUUAAUGACUUUUGUUUUGAAGGGAGUUACUGUGUCCAAAGAUCACAAUAUAAGUUGAUGUUAGCUGACCCAAAUUGUUUCCCAAAAUAUACACACAUUUUGAUGCAGAGUUGCAAUCCAGAUGUCACACUGUCCUUGAUUUGAUCUGUGAUUAUACUGGUAAGGGGAAAAAAAAAUCAAAUGUAAUUAUGUAGCAAUUAGAAAUAACUUCCUUUAAAUGAGUAAAAUUUAAAUGUUUUAGUCUCACUUUCAUUGGUAAUAAUUAGAUCUAAUGUGUGGUUAUUAAAAUAAAUUAGGCAAUUGACACUACUGUGUUUAACAAAUAAGUAAAACAUUUCCUGAACAUGUCAGUUUCUACAUAAAUGUCUAUAUUACAAUUACCCAUAAGCACUAAAUAAUCAUAAUUUAUGGCCAACUUGGAUAAAUGGCUAAAUAUUACCCUGGUGGUCUGUAGACUGGUACUACAAUUGUGCAGGAAUGUUUUAAUAUUUACUAUGACUUCCUCAAACAAUAAAAAUUUUGGCUACAUUUUUAGAGGUGGUUUGCAGUUUGUCACAUAGAAUUAUCCCAAGGCCACCUCCUCGACCACCACCUCCUGUCUCUUGAUUUAUGAAGGACUAUAUAACCGUUUGGUGUUGCCUCAACUAAGGGAAUGGUGUCAGAUUUACUACGCUAGGUUUCAGUUAGAGGCCACAAAAUAGAUUUUGUACUUAAUAUUGUAUCAUUCA